rnacentral:rRNA from 1 species
AUUGAACGCUGGCGGCAUGCUUAACACAUGCGAGUCGAACGGUAACAGGUGUAGCAAUCCCUGCUGACGAGUGGCGGACGGGUGAGGAAUGCUUGGGAAUCUGCCUGUUAGUGGGGGACAACCCGGGGAAACUCGGGCUAAUACCGCAGACGCUCUACGGAGGAAAGCGGGGGCCCGAAAGGCCUCGCGCUAACGGGUGAGCCCAAGUCGGAUUAGCUAGUUGGUGGGGUAAAAGCCUACCAAGGCGACGAUCCGUAGCUGGUCUGAGAGGACGAUCAGCCACACUGGAACUGAGACACGGCCCAGACUCCUACGGGAGGCAGCAGUGGGGAAUAUUGGACAAUGGGGGCAACCCUGAUCCAGCAAUGCCGCGUGUGUGAAGAAGGCCUGCGGGUUGUAAAGCACUGUUGGCAGGGAUGAAAAGCAGUGGAUUAAUAAUCGAGUGUGUUGACCUAACCUGCAGAAGAAGCACCGGCUAACUCUGUG